rnacentral:snRNA from 1 species
AGCCAUCUAGUCAACACAAAGAAACUAUUCUUUCACCUUUUACUAAAGAAUACCGUGUGUUGGCUACUCACAGUGGCACACGACAAUUUUUGAAGGAUUCCAUCAUUUGAAAAU